CACAAGCCUGCUCAGUGCACUCGCAGCAGUUACCUUCAGACUCUCAUUCCACGCCUCAGUAACUAAAUUUUUCAGUGUCACUUGUUGCCUCAUCCUCCUGUUCCCUUUGAAGCAGGAGGUGAGCACACACAAGCUUGGACAUAUAUUUCUCUGCCUUCUAUUGGAAGAGUAGGUGUUAUAUACGGACCAAAUGAGAGAAUCGGGACUGGAGGAGAGGAAAAGAAAAUGUGUAAGGCACAUCUCUGCAUUUCAUUAACAUUAAACUUCAAAGAAACAUCUGUGAAACUGUUGAUACAGUUGAUUGCACAUCAUCAUCUUCAUGUCAUGGUUAGAUCACUGUAUUUUGGGACUACAAGAGAAAUCUAACUGGAAUGGGAGAUUCUCCGAUUAAAUGGCCUUUUCCUUCUACCCUUCUUCUGAUCAUUUUUCAUGUUUUGAUGAGAAUAAAAUGCCACCCAGCUUUUCC
rnacentral:lncRNA from 1 species